AGUGUAAGCGAACAAGAGGGAGCUGCGGACUGCUCAGUAACAGGCGAUUAAUUUGAUCUCUACAAACGGACAAACUCAGGAAACGGAGUGUAAUACGUAAGAUAAGAAUCUUUCAAUAAAAAGGAUUCUUUUUUAGUUUGAAAAAACGGUAGAGAAUAAGACGCCAGCCUAUCAGUUAGUAAGUAGGGUAAGGGCCUAUUUAGACGAAGACGGGUACGGGGAAUUAGGGUUUGAUUCCGGAGAGGGAGCCUGAGAGACGGCUACCAGGUCCAAGGACGGCAGCAGGCGCGAAAAUUACCGAAGCUCGAAACGAGGCGGUAGUAAAGAGACGUAAUAAAUUAAUACAAGGGUAAAAAACUUGUUAAUAACUGGAGGUCAAGUCUGGUGCCAGCAUCCGCGGUAAUACCAGCUCCAGGGGUGUCUAUGAUGAUUGCUGCGAUUAAAAGGUCCGUAGUCGAAUUUAGAUAAUUGUUUGUAAUAUGUUUGUUAAAAGGAUAGAGAGAACAAUUACCUAAAUGAAAGGAAUAGCAAGGGGCUAGUUAAUCGAGUAACGAGAGGUGAAAUUUGAUGACUUACUCGGGAGAAACAGAGGCGAAAGCGCUAGUCAAGUGUAAAUCCUAUGAUCAAGGACGUAGGCUGGAGUAUCGAACACGAUUAGAUACCGUAGUAGUUCCAGCAGUAAACUAUGCCUACGCCACCGAAUGAAAGUUUGGUGGACGAGAAAUCAAGAGUAGGGCUUUGGGGAGAGUACACGCGCAAGCGAUAAAUUUAAAGGAAAUUGACGGAAGAACACCACAAGGAGUGGAGUGUGCGGCUUAAUUUGACUCAACGCGGGACAGCUUACCAGACCCGAGGACCAUACGAGUGAAUACACGAUAGGUUUAAGAGUGGUGCAUGGCCGUUAUCGACGAGUGAAGUGAUUUUAUGGUUAAAUCCGACAAGUCGUGAGACCCUAAAAUAAUACAGGUAUGAAAAUACAGGAAGGAUAGGACAAGAACAGGUCAGUGAUGCCCUUAGAUGGUUUGGGCUGCACGCGCACUACAGUGGUUAUAAUAAAAAAUAUGUUAAAUUAGUAUAUAAAUAUAAUCGAGAGGGAUUGAGCACUGCAAAGUGCCCAUGAACGAGGAAUUGCUAGUAAUCGUAGGCUCAGUAAGAUACGAUGAAUAUGUCCCUGUUCUUUGUACACACCGCCCGUCGUUAUCGAAGAUGGAGUUUUGCCCAAACGAGCUUUAGCGAGUGAGUGUAUGAUUCUAGAUCUGAUACAAGUCGUAACAAGGCAGCUGUAGGAGAACCUGUAGCUGGAUCAAAUGAUAUAAAAAAUAAUAUAAAAGGAAAGAAAAAUAGUGCAAAGGAGCGUUAGGUUCUAGUUGACGAAGAAGGGCGAUAAAGAAAUCGAAAACUACAUGAACAUUGGUAAUGAUUGUAGGUACCCGAAUAAUAAAACUUUGUAAGGCAACCCCUCGGAUUAAAGCAUUUGAGUAGAGGGAGGAAAAGAAACUAACUAGGAUUCCUGUAGUAGCGGCGAGUGAACAAGGAAAAGCUCAAAGUAUAAUUCUAAUAUUAAUAAAUAUAUAGAAAUUGUCAAAAUAAUUUUAUAUAAAAUCGAGAAACGGAUGAAAAGUCGUACCUAAGAAAGUUAUAGUCUUGUAAUGAUUUAAAAAAAUUAUAUAUGAAGAGUAAUUGUGUUUGGUAGUACACAAUGAAUAUUGGUGGCAUGGACCAUCAAAAGCUAAAUACAACUAGAAACCGAUAGCGAAUAAGUAGGAUGCCCGAA
rnacentral:rRNA from 1 species